UCCUCGCACAGCCCCGCCCCGGCCUAUCCGGCCCAGCAGAGGUCCCGCCUGUCCCGGGAGAGGGAGCUCCAGAGGCUCUGACAGACAGACGGCGGACAAGCUGACCGAGGGGCCUAACCAAGCACAGGCGCUGAGGGACGGAGCGCAGGUCUGCCCUCCCUGACACUGGCUACCACUGGGAACGUCAUGAGCCAGUCAGCAUCCAUGAGCUGCUGCCCAGGAGCUGCCAACGGCAGUCUGGGCCGGUCUGAUGGUGUGCCCAGGAUGAGCGCAAAGGACCUGUUUGAGCAGAGGAAGAAGUACUCCAACUCCAACGUCAUCAUGCAUGAGACUUCACAGUAUCACGUGCAGCACCUGGCCACAUUCAUCAUGGACAAGAGUGAGGCUAUUGCCUCCGUGGAUGACGCCAUCCGGAAGCUGGUACAGCUGAGCUCCAAGGAGAAGGUCUGGGCCCAGGAAGUCCUGCUGCAGGUGAACGACAAGUCACUGCGACUGCUGGAUGUUGAGUCCCAGGAAGAGCUGGAGAACUUUCCGCUGCCCACUGUGCAGCACAGCCAGACAGUGCUAAACCAGCUGCGCUACCCCUCUGUGCUGCUGCUGGUGUGCCAGGACUCAGACCAGAACAAGCCCGACAUCCACUUCUUUCACUGUGACGAGGUGGAGGCGGAACUUGUGCAGGAAGACAUUGAGAGUGCUCUGGCUGACUACCGGCUGGGGAAGAAGAUGAGACCACAGACCCUAAAGGGACACCAGGAGAAGAUCCGCCAGCGGCAGUCUAUCUUACCCCCUCCACAGAGCCCAGCCCCCAUUCCCUUCCAGCGACAGCCAGGAGAUUCCCCUCAGGCCAAGAACCGUGUGGGCCUGCCCUUGCCAGUGCCAUUCAGUGAACCAGGCUAUCGCAGGAGGGAAUCCCAGGACGAGGAGCCACGGGCUGUGCUGGCUCAGAGAAUAGAGAAGGAGACGCAAAUCCUUAACUGCACCCUGGAUGAUAUUGAAUGGUUCGUGGCCAGGCUGCAGAAGGCAGCUGAGGCUUUCAAGCAGUUGAACCAGCGGAAAAAGGGGAAGAAGAAGAACAAGAAGGGGCCAGCAGAGGGUGUCCUUACACUUCGGGCACGCCCCCCCUCGGAGGGAGAGUUUGUUGACUGUUUCCAGAAAACCAAGCUGGCCAUCAACCUGCUGGCGAAGCUGCAGAAGCACAUCCAAAACCCUAGUGCAGCCGAGCUGGUGCACUUCCUCUUCGGGCCUCUGGAUCUGAUCAUCAACACAUGUGGCAGCCCCGACAUAGCACGCUCUGUCUCCAGCCCUUUGCUGUCCACUGACGCCGUGAGCUUCUUACGUGGCCACUUGGUCCCCAAAGAGAUGACACUGUGGGAAUCACUGGGGGAGACCUGGAUGAGGCCUCGCUCUGAAUGGCCCCGGGAGCCACAGGUGCCACUCUAUGUGCCCAAGUUCCGCAGCGGCUGGGAACCACCCCUGGAUGUCCUACAGGAGGCUCCCUGGGAGGUAGAAGGACUGGCAUCUGUGCCCAGUGAUCAGCUGACCCCCAAGAAUCGACUAUCUGUACGACAUUCCCCAAAGCACAGCCUCUCCUCCGAGUCCCAAGCCCCAGAGGACAUUGCACCACCAGGCAGCUCCCCACAUGCUAACAGGGGCUACCAGCCAACACCAGCCAUGACCAAGUACGUCAAGAUCCUCUAUGAUUUCACAGCGCGAAACGCCAAUGAGCUAUCUGUGCUCAAGGACGAGGUCCUAGAGGUGCUGGAGGACGGCCGGCAGUGGUGGAAGCUACGAAAUCGCAGUGGCCAGGCGGGCUAUGUGCCCUGCAACAUCCUGGCUGAAGCUCGGCAGGAGGACGUGGGUGCCCCCUUGGAACAGGUGAUCGCCUGCCACGGCUCCAUUCUGUCUACAACACAGUCAGAGCCCCUAAGUCUGGCCAGAAAUACUGGGGUCCAGCCAGCCCCACCCACAAACUGCCCCCAAUUUUCGCAGGGAACAAAGAAGAGCUAAUCCACCACAUGGACGAGGUCAAUGACGAGCUCAUGAAAAAGAUCAGCCACAUCAAGACACAGCCGCAGCGCAACUUCCGCGUGGAGCGCAGCCAGCCAGUGCACCUGCCGCUUACCUUCGAGUCAGGUCCGGAUGAGGUCCGCGCCUGGCUGGAAGCCAAGGCCUUCAGUGCCAGGAUCGUGGAGAACCUGGGCAUCUUAACUGGACCCCAGCUCUUCUCCCUCAACAAGGAGGAACUGAAAAAAGUGUGCGGGGAAGAGGGCAGUCGCGUGUACAGCCAGCUCACGGUUCAGAAGGCCUUCCUGGAGAAACAACAAAGUGGGUCAGAACUGGAGAAGCUCAUGAGCAAGAUCAGGAGGGCCGAGGACAGCUAUACCAGCCAACACACUUCACCAGAGUCAGAGGGGGCGCCGCACCUGUAAUGGGCCCAACCCAAAUGCAUGGAGUAUUAUUUUUAUAUGUGUAUUAUUUUAUACCAAGGACAUAGAUGGGCUGGGUGUAACUGGCUUACCUGCCCUCCAGGCAGAGUCCUGUGUAUGAGCCUAGCUACACCUGUGGGUAGCUCUUUUACCACCCGAGCCCUACCCCCAACCCAAUACUCUUCUUCCAAAACCAAGGCCAGCCUCAGCCAAACCUGUACCUGGCAGUGCCAGUCCCUUCUCAACCUGCUGCCAAGGCCCCAGGACUCUCCCGGUGGGCAAGGCCUCUUCCCCUGGUCUUCUUGGUGCACAUGAAGGUCCUUGUUCCUUACAAUGCUGGGCCCCGACUCUGCAGCUCUCCCUUGUGUUGCUUGUUUCUACAUUCACGUUUUCCUGCAUCCGCUGUACCCCAAUUGCAGGAUGGGCCUGAGCCCUCAGCUGACCAGCCUGGUGUCCUUGCCUACAUAUUUGCCCACUCCCUUCACGCUGCUAGCAUCCCAGGAACAACCUGGUCAGGGGCUCCAGGACAGGAGGCCUUGGGUGACCUGCUGGUAUAGAGUAUGCUGUAUUCUUUCUUCUUUGAGACCUAAGAAUGAACCAGACAUAGGUUCUGACUUCAAAUGUCCCAUCCCACCCAAAGAGCCUGUGAUAACAGAUGUCUCUGGCUAUUUCCACCAGCCUGUUCGCUGGUGUCUGGUGCGUUUCCCAGCUCUGGAUGGAGCCCCAGACCCAGAGAUGAGAGUGGGGACUCCACAGCUAUGUCAAUAAACCAGAUGUCUCCUAGCAA